UUUUUUUAUCAUCAGUAGGAAAUUAGAUUCCACCAUUUUAAGUUCAAUGUGAAAGUUAAAUUCUUGUAAAACAGGAUAAGAAGGAAUUCUUGUUCAAUUGGAACACACGAUAUGAUCACAGGUAGGUGGAUCCGCUCACACAUAAGAGCUCGGAAGUCAUGUUUUCUAGCACUAAAAUAGAACUUAAGCCUUUAAAAGGCAGUCUUCGAAGACCAAAAAUCCAUCAAUCGAACCAAGUCCCUUGGCUGGAACAACUCCUUCUAUAAGCAACCCCUGUAAAGACUCGAUUAUGUGAUACUAUCUUACCAUUACUGAACAUCCCAUACGAAAAUCCUAAGAGCAGCCAAGAAGGUAGAUGUGGACUG
rnacentral:misc_RNA from 1 species